rnacentral:rRNA from 1 species
AUGAACGCUAGCUACAGGCUUAACACAAGCAAGUCGAGGGGCAGCAUGAACUUAGCUUGCUAAGUUUGAUGGCGACCGGCGCACGGGUGAGUAACACGUAUCCAACCUGCCGAUGACUCGGGGAUAGCCUUUCGAAAGAAAGAUUAAUACCCGAUGGCAUAGUUCUUCCGCAUGGUGGAACUAUUAAAGGAUUUCGGUCAUCGAUGGGGAUGCGUUCCAUUAGGUUGUUGGCGGGGUAACGGCCCACCAAGCCUUCGAUGGAUAGGGGUUCUGAGAGGAAGGUCCCCCACAUUGGAACUGAGACACGGUCCAAACUCCUACGGGAGGCAGCAGUGAGGAAUAUUGGUCAAUGGACGAGAGUCUGAACCAGCCAAGUAGCGUGAAGGAUGACUGCCCUAUGGGUUGUAAACUUCUUUUAUACGGGAAUAAAGUGAGGCACGUGUGCCUUUUUGUAUGUACCGUAUGAAUAAGGAUCGGCUAACUCCGUGCCAGCAGCCGCGGUAAUACGGAGGAUCCGAGCGUUAUCCGGAUUUAUUGGGUUUAAAGGGAGCGUAGGCGGACGCUUAAGUCAGUUGUGAAAGUUUGCGGCUCAACCGUAAAAUUGCAGUUGAUACUGGGUGUCUUGAGUACAGUAGAGGCAGGCGGAAUUCGUGGUGUAGCGGUGAAAUGCUUAGAUAUCACGAAGAACUCCGAUUGCGAAGGCAGCCUGCUGGACUGUAACUGACGCUGAUGCUCGAAAGUGUGGGUAUCAAACAGGAUUAGAUACCCUGGUAGUCCACACAGUAAACGAUGAAUACUCGCUGUUUGCGAUAUACAGUAAGCGGCCAAGCGAAAGCGUUAAGUAUUCCACCUGGGGAGUACGCCGGCAACGGUGAAACUCAAAGGAAUUGACGGGGGCCCGCACAAGCAGUGGAGUAUGUGGUUUAAUUCGAAGCAACGCGAAGAACCUUACCAGGCCUUGACAUCCCUUGCAGAGGUAUAGAGAUAUAUCCGAGGUUAUCAAGGCGACAGGUGGUGCAUGGUUGUCGUCAGCUCGUGUCGUGAGAUGUUGGGUUAAGUCCCGCAACGAGCGCAACCCCUGUGAUUAGUUGCCAGCGAGUAAUGUCGGGAACUCUAAUCAAACUGCCGGUGAUAAAUCGGAGGAAGGUGGGGACGACGUCAAAUCAUCAUGCCCUUUAUGUCUUGGGCUACACACGUACUACAAUGGCUAUAACAAAGAGAAGCGAGACAGUGAUGUGGAGCAAAACUCAAAAAAAUAGUCUCAGUUCGGAUUGAAGGCUGAAAUUCGCCUUCAUGAAGCCGGAAUUGCUAGUAAUGGCAGGUCAGCAUACUGCCGUGAAUACGUUCCCGGGCCUUGUACACACCGCCCGUCACACCAUGGGAGCCGGUAAUACCCGAAGUCAGUAGUCUAACCGCAAGGAGGACGCUGCCGAAGGUAGGAUUGGCGACUGGGGUG